GCAAUGCCGCGUGUGUGAAGAAGGCCUUCGGGUUGUAAAGCACUUUUGUCCGGAAAGAAAUGCUUGUGUCUAAUACCCGCGGGCGAUGACGGUACCGGAAGAAUAAGCACCGGCUAACUACGUGCCAGCAGCCGCGGUAAUACGUAGGGUGCGAGCGUUAAUCGGAAUUACUGGGCGUAAAGCGUGCGCAGGCGGUUUGCUAAGACCGAUGUGAAAUCCCCGGGCUCAACCUGGGAACGGCGUUGGUGACUGGCAGGCUAGAGUAUGGCAGAGGGGGGUAGAAUUCCACGUGUAGCAGUGAAAUGCGUAGAGAUGUGGAGGAAUACCGAUGGCGAAGGCAGCCCCCUGGGACAAUACUGACGCUCAUGCACGAAAGCGUGGGGAGCAAACAGGAUUAGAUACCCUGGUAGUCCACGCCCUAAACGAUGUCAACUAGUUGUUGGGGAUUCAUUUCCUUAGUAACGUAGCUAACGCGUGAAGUUGACCGCCUGGGGAGUACGGUCGCAAGAUUAAAACUCAAAGGAAUUGACGGGGACCCGCACAAGCGGUGGAUGAUGUGGAUUAAUUCGAUGCAACGCGAAAAACCUUACCUACCCUUGACAUG
rnacentral:rRNA from 1 species